UUUCACCAUCCCAAUGGGAGAGGACAGUUUACAUGGAACUUGUUGCCUGGGGUUACUGUGGCUCCCUGAAUGCCUGAGCAUAGUGAGAGCUGGGAAGGCUCAGAAGUUUCCAUUCUGAGAGACCUGAACCCUCUAGCCCCAAGGAGCUAAAUCUAGGAGAAGGUUUGAAGGUGCCUGAAUUGGCUCUAGACCAGAUAUCCGUGGGCACCUGGCUGCCCCACAGGCCUCACGCUCUCCUCUUCUGGCUCCCCCUGCAGCAUGUCCUUCCAAGGCUGGGCCACCUAUCCCAGCUUGCCCUCCCAGGACCGCAGGAAUGGCAGUUUUCUACAAGGCCUGGCCAAGAGCCCUUCAUUCCUGGGGAGGCUUCAGGGUUAUCGUAGGGCAAGGUCAAUGGAGACACCCUGGGGCCACUCCAAGGUCUACCCAUCUUCCAGAGACUCUCUUAAGGUAGAGGGCCCUCUGAGGGCCACUUCUGAAUUGCUGGAGUCUGGGAACUCUUCCUGCCUGUGGCACUCCCACAGUCCUAGGCUCCUAGACAGAUCACAGUCCCCAAGCCUCCUGAGAGGCAUCCACCCCACUGAAGCGAGCCCAUCAUCCUGCAGCCUCUUUGGCAAAGGCUCAAACCCACUCAUCAGACGUCGGGCUUCUCUACCCCACCUUCUGGACUGGAUGGACAGUGUGGUCGGCCGCGGGGCCCUGGCCCUCCAGGACUGGAGCAGAUCAGAACAAGACCUUCGGUCAUCAUUGUUAGAGAGUGUUCAGCAGGGGGCAGAGCUGGUGGGCCGCCUGCCGACAGCCCGUGGGACCCUGAAGAAGCAGGCCCAGGAGAUCCAAAGGAGGGAGAAGGCUGUGGAGCUCAGCCAAAUGAAGUGUGAGCUGCUUGACAUAAGGCAGAAGAUGGAAAGCUCUCUCGUUCGCCUGGAGUGGGAAAGAAGAGAGCUAAAGAGGUCCAGAAGACAGGAGCAGCAGCAGGGCAGAGAGCUCCAGGACAAAAUCCUGCAUCUGCAGGUAGAAGUGAUGAAAGUCAAGUUGUGUUUGGACAGAAUGAGCCAGCAGUCACUGUUUGUGGAGGACCCAGAGAAGGAGCCCAGAGUCAGACCUGAGAGUCAGGGGGCUGACCUCAAUACCAAGCUCCAGAUGUUGGUGACCAACCAGGACUCCAUCUUUCAGGAGAAGCUAGGACAGGAGCUGAGCUUUGAUGCCAAUCAGACUCUAGAGGGCCAGGGGGAAGUAACAGUGGAGGGCCCGAAGGCCUCUACCCCCCAGGAGUCCCAGGACAUGAUCUUUCUUCAAGAAGAGCUGGUGAUCAUUAAAGAGGUGAAUGAGCUGCUCUCCUCAGAGCUGGACCAGAGCCGCCGGAGACUGAGGACCUGUCUAAACCAGCUCUACCAGCUGCAGGCAGAGAAGAAGAUUUCCCACAGCUGGCUCCAGGCCCUGGAGAUGGAGCAAGCCCAGCUGAUGGGAGAGAACUUGGCACUGUUGUCUGUGCUCCAGGGGCAAGGGGGAGGCGCAGAGCUCGGGACAGCUUCGUGGCAGAAUAGUGAGGCCAGUGGAUAUCCUCAGUUCCAGAAGGAGUUGGUCACUCCCCAACAGGAGCCAGAGGAGGAAACAUCAUGCCCCAGGACCCAUAAGGAGGAAGUUCAGUAUUGGAAAGCACGCUGGCAGCAGGUGGCAAAUGAGUUGAAAUCCAAGGAGGAGGAACUGGAGACGGUCCAGAGACAGACAUGCAAGAUCCCCUGGGUCCAAGAGCUUCUCCUAGGGAAAGAGGAGGGUCUGGCUGGGUUGAAAGACCCUGUGGGCAGGGAAAACGAGACCACUGACCUGGAAGGGAGCCGGCUGGCAAAGAAGUAUCAACAUCUUUGUUCUGGAGAAGACUCAAGUUCACUAACAGAGAAGAUGGAAUAUCAGAGAGAUCUCCAAAGCAAGAUGAAAAUACUGGAGCAGGAAAAUGCUCAGAUGGCACUGGUGAUCCAGAGGUGGAAGCUGGACAAGAGCCCAGUGCUUCAGAUCGAGCUAGACACCUGCAAGCAGGAGCUAGAACUAGAACGAAGUUUGUGCCUGGCCCUGCAGCACCAGCUUCGGGGGCUGCAAGGUGGGAGUGCCCCCCAGAGGGCAGAGCCUCCACCAGCAUUGCCAGGUCCGGGACCGUGCCCCCCUGGAACCCUGAAGGGGAUGGAAGCAGAGCCCCGAUGGGACAUGCAGUUCCAAUCCAAAGCAGAGUCUCAUAGACCCCUCCAGGAGCUUCAAGGAUCUUCAUCAGGAAGCCCUCAGGUGCCAGAGCUGCUUCAGCCAUUUCAGAGAGACGCCCGAGGGGGCCAGGAAGCAGGAGCUCCUGGGCUGUUGUCAGAGGCAGAAAUCCUAAGACAGCAGCUGCAGAAGGAGAGAACCUUGGGGCAGGAGCUGGAGCAGCGACUUCAGAGCCUCAUCUCAGACCUGCAGGAGCUGAAACUGAGGAAACCAGAAGAACACAAGGAGUCCAACCCAAGAGUCUUAACUUAG
rnacentral:lncRNA from 1 species